AAGAAAUUAGCUCAGUGGUAGAGCUAUCGUUUUACACACGAAGGGUCAGGUGUUCAAAUCACCUAUUUCUUA
rfam:Trichophyton rubrum CBS 118892 mitochondrial scaffold supercont2.36, whole genome shotgun sequence.